ACAUGCUAGUUGUACGCUUCCUAGCAACGUUGGGAGCGUAGCGAAAAACUCCGUAACACGUAGUUAAUCUUCCCUUAGGACGGGGAUAACCCCGGGAAACUGGGGCUAAUAACCGAUAGGCGGAAACGCCUGGAAUGGCAUUCCACCUAAAGGGUCUUAGAAACACGCUCAUAAGACUGCCUAAGGAUGAGACUGCGGCCGAUCAGGUUGUUGGUGGGGUAACGGCCUACCAAGCCUAUAACCGGUACGGGCCCUGAGAGGGGGAGCCCGGAGGUGGGAACUGAGACAAGGUCCCAGACCCUACGGGGUGCAGCAGUUGCGAAACCUCUACAAUGCACGAAAGUGUGAUAGGGUUAUCCCGAGUGCCAUCCGAUAAGGUUGGCUUUUCCUUGGUGUAAAGAUCCAGGGGAAUAAAGGGGGGGCAAGACUGGUGUCAGCCGCCGCGGUAAUACCAGCCCCCUGAGUGGUGGGGACAAUUAUUUGGCCUAAAGCGUUUGUAGCCGGCUUAGUAAGUCUUUCGUUAAAUCCAGUGACUUAAUCAUUGGGCUGCGAGAGGUACUACUAGGCUUGAGGACGGGAGAGGUCGACGGUAUUUCGGGGGUAGGGGUAAAAUCCUAUAAUCCUCGAAGGACCACCAGUGGCGAAGGCGGUCGACUAGAACGUGCCUGACGGUGAUGGACGAAAGCUGGGGGAGCAAACCGGAUUAGACACCCGGGUAGUCCCAGCCGUAAACGAUG
rnacentral:rRNA from 1 species